ensembl:snRNA U6 U6 spliceosomal RNA
GGGCUCGCUUCAGCAGCACAUACACUAAAACUGGAAUGACACAGAUUAGCUUGGCCCUGGGGCAAGGGAUAACACACAAAAAUACAUGCAGUGUUUCAUACUUUU